UACUAUGAAGCUAGCUAUUUGAGUAUUUUCUCUCUGAUCAAAGUUUCAUACUAGUUCCAAUCUCUCUCCUCUCCGCGUUUAUAGCAAUUCAAAGGGCAAUAUUUGGUUUACGAUCUGUUGGAUCUCGAAACCUUCCAUUGCUGUGAGCAAUUGAAUCUCAAAUUCAAUUACAAGAUCAUUUUCAAUUGAAUAUCGAGGCUGCUGCUUUUUGUGUUUAAAGGAAUUGUGGACAGCUAGAAUGUAGCAUGGACAGGAGAAACAAUAUUCUAAAGAUUAACAAACUCAUCAAAUGUGACCAAAGAAGCAAAACAAGCGGCAGAAGAAUUUUAAUACAAAAAUGAUACCUUCAUCAUCAAUUUUCAAGCCUUUCUUGACAUGAUCAAUUUCAGCUAGAGCUUUUUUGGUAUUGAGUUCAUUAGGAUUCUACAUCGUGAUUCCAGAAUGUAAGAGUGGGGCUUAAUGGUGACUAGGGACGAUAUGAGUAACUUGAAAACAGGCAAGUAGAGCAUAAUAAUACUCUAUUUACAUGAAUGGUUAUGAGAUCAUCUCUGGUAAAUGGUUAUGACUUAUUAAUUAAAUUAGUUGCCUUUGGACAGUAUCAGGGAUGCUGAUUUCACAAGUAUCUUUGCUUUGAGGCAAGAACUUAAAAAUAAUGGGGUGAUAAUUUCCCCUUGACCUGAUAUCCUGUAUACCUCUUCCUCUUUUAGCAUGUCAAAGUUGGGUUCCAUAUGUAAACAAGUUUUAGAAGGUAAAUUUAAUAGUCUUUGAAACUUUGCAUCUAGCCACUCUUGCCAUGUAACCAGAUUACUAAAGUGUGUUCCUAGCCUAGCGAAGUAAUUUAAAAUUUGUGGAAGCUUUUUGUAGUCAAAUAAUGCUUGCUGAUUUGCUUCUAUCUAAGAGGUAGCAAGAGAUUGAUUUGAGGCAUAUAUUCUUUGAUAGAAAGGAUAAUGUUUCAUUAUUGGGUAGUGGUUGCUCAGUUUCUGGAUUUAUCUUGUCGUGCAUAAGUGCAAGCCUUAAUGUUGAGAUUCUUUGAUAGGAAGGAUAAUGUAUCAUUAUUGGGCACUGGUUGUUAUCGGUUUCUGAUUUUAUUGUCAUGCAAUAAGUGCAAGCCGUAAUGUUUGUUUCAUUAUCUACCUCCUUGUCCUUACUGUUUGCUUCCUAAUCUUUAAUGUAGGAUAUACUGCAUCCGAUAUCUGUUACUCUAGCAUCAUGCACUCGGUUUUUUGAAGCUAUGUGACAAAAGAUGUGGGUUCGAAUCUCAUGUAGGCUCUUUUAACACUUCGAACCAUUUGAUUAAGUUUUUCUAAUUUACUUUUAAGUAAAUAUUUUUUACUUCCCU